AUGAGGUUGCGGGUUCGGUCCCUGCCCUUGCUCAGUGGGUUAACGAUCCGGCGUUGCCGUGAGCUGUGGUGUAGGUUGCAGACGCGGCUCGGAUCCCGCGUUGCUGUGGCUNUUAGCACAGUGGUGACACCCCAAGCGCUCCCCACCAAAGCACACAAAUUUUGCCUUCAGGGUCUCAGCCUUGGCAGCGGGGAGUGUGACAGUGGUGAGAAAGGCCUCUCAUGCCACCUGAAGAAUCGAUCAAAUUUUAUCACAAACCUCACCAGUUUCAGGUAACCCAACUACCUACCCACCUGCCUUCAAAAUCGGGGUCAACCGUGCUUGAGCUUACAGGGUUCAAGAUCACCCCAAAUAACCCAGAGAAGCUCAUGUGACUAUGGUUGCCUCCUCUGGUUGCCUCUGAUCAGAAAAGCAAGUGAAGACCCAGUAAACUUCCAAAUGCAACCUCGGACACAGCUAGAGUUCUUUGUGCAUCCAAGGCCCUCCAAGUUUACCUUCUCACCUACCUUGCGGGCCAGGUACCUGAACAGUCUCCCAUCCCCUCAUUGGUUGCCCUCUACCAUUUAGCCAAUGUUCCCCAGGUAUUCUCUAGCUCACUAAUCAAGUAACUUUUAUAGAGUGUCUUGCACAUCACAUAAUAGCUCAGAUUUGUGAAACAAUUGGUUUUUCAACUUCUAUUCAUUCUAUCACAUUGCUCCAUGGCAACUGCUAUUUCCAUGUCCUUCCUCUCCCACCACCAAUCUCUGCCCACCCCUCCCACCAUAUCUAUCUGCUAAAGGAACAGUUGAAGGGAGAUGGUAUAGAAGGAAGGACACAGAUUCUGGAAUUAGACAUCGCUGAUCCACAUUCUGACAAUAUCACCUUAAGUCGCUUGAUAUCUGUGACCCCAGGUUCUCCUCUGCUAAAUGAGAAUAAUCCCUCCUAGUACGCAAUGCUUUUGUGAGGAAAACUGGAUGUGUGUAAAGUUCCUGGUAUGCUGAGGAGUUGGGCACUCAGCAUGCUAUAAAUGCUAGUUUCUUUUCUUUCUUAAGACCCAACUCAAAUCCCUGCUAUUCUGAGAAUCCUCUCAGCUUAUCUACUGAGAUCCCCGUCUCUUCUAGAGCAUAGCAGCCUUUCCUCAGUCUCUGAAUGUCUCUAUGAUAAGAAAAUCUGCAGUUGAGAAACUAUAGUCAUAGAGGAAAGAAAAUCAGGAAACAGAGGACAUUAUUAAACGUGAACCUUCGUAAAUUUAGUAAAAUGAAACCAUAAUCCAACUUGCUAAAUAAAAACAAUGUCAAUGACUUUUGGACCUUAUAA
rnacentral:lncRNA from 1 species